GUUGCCAGCCGCCGCGGUAAUACGGAGGGUCCAAGCGUUGUCCGGAAUCACUGGGCGUAAAGGGUGUGCAGGUGGGGCAGCAAGUCAGAGGUGAAAGCCCGCGGCUUAACCGCGGACGUGCCUUUGAAACUGUUGCUCUUGAGUCCCGGAGAGGUUGCCGGAAUUCGUGGUGUAGCGGUGAAAUGCGUAGAUAUCACGAGGAACGCCAGAGGCGAAAGCGGGCAACUGGACGGGUACUGACACUGAGGCACGAAAGCGUGGGGAGCAGACAGGAUUAGAAACCCUGGUAGUCC
rnacentral:rRNA from 1 species